AGGCUGUGAUGAACAACAACAUUUCUCGAAUCUGAUAAUGAUUAUAUUGUUUUUUGAUGACCGUGUUUGUGCGUGUCUGAGCCUC
rfam:Medicago truncatula strain A17 chromosome 3, whole genome shotgun sequence.